UGCGUGGUGGUAGGGGAGAUAGCAGC
rnacentral:piRNA from 1 species